rnacentral:rRNA from 1 species
GAUUAACGCUGGCGGCGUGCCUAACACAUGCCAGUCGAGCGGCAGCGAGUUUUACACUGAAUUCUGGAAGCUUCUAGUUGAAAGAGAAGAUUUAUUCAAGAAUUUUGUGUAAAAUGUCGGCGAGCGGCGGACGGCUGAGUAACGCGUGGGAACGUACCCCAAAGUGAGGGAUAACGCAUCGAAAGGUGUGCUAAUACCGCAUAUGGUCUUCGGAUUAAAGCCUUCGGGCGCUUUGGGAACGGCCUGCGUAAGAUUAGAUAGUUGGUGGGGUAAUGGCCUACCAAGUCGACGAUCUUUAACUGGUUUGAGAGGAUGAUCAGUCAGACUGGAACUGAGACACGGUCCAGACUCCUACGGGAGGCAGCAGUGAGGAAUCUUCCACAAUGGGCGAAAGCCUGAUGGAGCAACGCCGCGUGCAGGAUGAAGGCCUUCGGGUUGUAAACUGCUUUUAUAAGUGAGGAUUAUGACAGUAACUUAUGAAUAAGGAUCGGCUAACUACGUG